GAGGGUAUAUCUCAGUGGCAGAGCACGUGCUUAGCAUGCACGAGGUCCUGGGUUCAAUCCCUGGUACUGCCU
rnacentral:tRNA from 1 species